rnacentral:rRNA from 1 species
AGUUCGAUUCUGGCUCAGGUGAACGCUGGCGGGAUGCUUUACACAUGCAAGUCGAACGGCGGCACGGACUUCGGUCUGGUGGCGAGUGGCGAACGGUGGUAAUGUCCGGAACGUGCCUAGUAGCGGGGGAUAACUACGCGGCGUAGCUAAUACCGCAUACGCCCUUCGAGAAGAAAGCAGGGGACCUUCGGGCCUCGCACUAUUAAACGGCCGAUAUCGGAUUAGCUAGUUGGUGGGGUAACGGCUCACCAAGGCGACGAUCCGUAGCUGGUUUGAGAGGACGACCAGCCACACUGGGACUGGACAGCCCAGACUCCACCGGGAGGCAGCAGUGGGGAAUUUUGGACAAUGGGGAAACCCUGAUCCAGCCAUCCCGCGUGUGCGAUGAAGGCCUUCGGGUUGUAAAGCACUUUUGGCAGGAAAACGGCACGGGAUAACGCAUUACUGCAACUGACGAAACACCUGCAGAAUAAGCACCGGCUAACUACGUGCCAGCAGCCGCGGUAAUGGCGAGUGCAAGCGUUAAUCGGAAUUACUGGGCGUAAAGCGUGCGCAGGCGGUUCGGAAAGAAAGAUGUGAAAUCCAGAGCUUAACUUUGGAACUGCAUUUUUAACUACCGAGCUAGGAAGAGUGUGUCAGAGGGAGGUGGAAUUCCGCGUGUAGCAGUGAAAUGCGUAGAUAUGCGGAGAACACCGAUGGCGAAGGCAGCCUCCUGGGAUAACACUGACGCUCAUGCACGAAAGCGUGGGAGCAAACAGGAUUAGAUACCCUGGUAGUCCACGCCCUAAACGAUGUCAACUAGCUGUUGGGGCCUUCGGGCCUUGGUAGCGCAGCUAACGCGUGAAGUUGACCGCCUGGGAAGUACGGUCGCAAGAUUAAAACUCAAAGGAAUUGACGGGGACCCGCACAAGCGGUGGAUGAUGUGGAUUAAUUCGAUGCAACACGCGAAAAACCUUACCUACCCUUGACAUGUCUGGAAUCCCGAAGAGAUUUGGGAGUGCUCGCAAAGAGAACCGGAACACAGGUGCUGCCUUGGCUGUCGUCAGCUCGUGUCGUGAGAUGUUGGGUUAAGUCCCGCAACGAGCGCAACCCUUGUCAUUAGUUGCUACGAAAGGGCACUCUAAUGAGACUGCCGGUGACAAACCGGAGGAAGGUGAGGAUGACGUCAAGUCCUCAUGGCCCUUAUGGGUAGGGCUUCACACGUCAUACAAUGGUCGGGACAGAGGGUCGCCAACCCGCGAGGGAGCCAAUCCCAGAGAAACCCGAUCGUAGUCCGGAUCGCAGUCUGCAACUCGACUGCGUGAAGUCGGAGUCGCUAUUGUCGCGGAUCAGCAUGUCGCGGUGAAUACGUUCCCAGGUCUUGUACACACCGCCCGCCACCACCAUGGGAGUGGGUUUUACAGAAGUAGUUAGCCCUAACCGUAAGGAGGGCGAUUACCACGGUAGGAUUCAUGACUGGGGUGAAGUCGUAACAAGGUAACUCU